rnacentral:rRNA from 1 species
ACGGCGAGUGAAGCGGUAAAAGCUCAAAUUUGAAAUCUGGCUCUUUCAGAGUCCGAGUUGUAAUUUGUAGAAGAUGCUUCGGGUGUGGUUCCGGUCUAAGUUCCUUGGAACAGGACGUCAUAGAGGGUGAGAAUCCCGUAUGUGACUGGAUACCUAUGCUCAUGUGAAGCUCUUUCGACGAGUCGAGUUGUUUGGGAAUGCAGCUCAAAAUGGGUGGUAUAUUUCAUCUAAAGCUAAAUAUUGGCCAGAGACCGAUAGCGCACAAGUAGAGUGAUCGAAAGAUGAAAAGCACUUUGGAAAGAGAGUUAAACAGUACGUGAAAUUGUUGAAAGGGAAGCGCUUGCAAUCAGACUUGCACUUGGUGUUCAUCAGGGUUUCGUGCCCUGUGUACUUCAUCAAGUUCAGGCCAGCAUCAGUUUGAGUGGUUAGAUAAAGGCUUGGAGAAUGUGGCCCUCUUCGGGGGGUGUUAUAGCUCCAGGUGCAAUGUAGCCUACUUGGACUGAGGACCGCGCUUCGGCUAGGAUGCUGGCGUAAUGGUUGUAAGCGACCCGUCUUGAAACACGGACCAAGGAGUGUACCUAAUAUGCGAGUGUUUGGGUGUUAAACCCAUACGCGUAAUGAAAGUGAACGCUGGUGAGAACCCUUAAGGGUGCAUCAUCGACCGAUCUUGAUGUCUUCGGAUGGAUUUGAGUAAGAGCAUAUUGGGUGCGACCCGAAAGAUGAUGAUCUAUACGUGAAUAGGGUGAAGCCAGAGGAAACUCUGGUGGAGGCUCGCAGCGGUUCUGACGUGCAAAUCGAUCGUCAAAUUUGCGUAUAGGGGCGAAAGACUAAUCGAAUCAUUAAGGAAUAGACCAAGCUCUAGGUGAUUGAGAAACCCCUUUGGGGUAUUAGUCCUGGAGACAGGGCGACAUUGUCAAAUUGUUCGGGGACCACCUGUUAAAUUAUAUGCUACUGCAGCAGUGCUGAAAGGCCUGUGAGCACUGAGGGUAACGCCCUCAGGGAUGGUAAUAACGCAUAUAUAGGGUAUAUCCGCAGCGAAGUUCUAAGGCUUUCGAGCUAUGAAUCGCGUUCACAGACUAGACGGCAAUGGGCUCCUCGCGGGGCUUAAGAUAUAGUCGAACCCCUCAGAGAUGAGGA